AGCAGCCGCGGUAAYACCAGCUCCACAAGCGUAUAUUAAUGUUGUUGCAGUUAAAAAGCUCGUAGUUGGAUAUCUGUCAUGRUGGACCUGGCCCAGCAGCGCCUCGUGCGUAGCUGUGUGCCGGUAGGGCAUUCGCUUUCGGGUGUUUGCUUGCUCGCUUGACAUCCUUCAGGAGAACCGUUCUGCCUUUUAUUAGGUUGGGGCGAGGAUCCUGAUCAUUUACUUUGAACAAAUUAGAGUGUUUAACGCAGGCUUAUGCCGUGAAUAGAUUAGCAUGGAAUAAUAAGAUAGGACUUCGGCACCGGAUCUUCUGGUUCGAUUUCUAUUUUGUUGGUUUCUAGAGCUGAAGUAAUGAUUGAUAGGGAUAGUUGGGGGUGCUCGUAUUGCUGGGCCAGAGGUGAAAUUCUCGGAUUCUAGUAAGACGAACUUUUGCGAAAGCAUUCACCAAGGAUGUCUUCUUUAAUCAAAGAACGAAAAGUUGGGGGAUCGAAGACGAUCAGAUACCGUCGUAGUCUCAACCAUAAACUAUACCAACUAGGGAUUGGGCGUCGUUGAAUUUAGGACUCGCUUCAGCACCUUUAUUUUUGAGAAAAUCAUAAGUUUUUGGGUUCUGGGGGGAGUAUGGUCGCAAGGCUGAAACUUAAAGGAAUUGACGGAAGGGCACCACCAGGGCGUGGAGCCUGCGGCUUUAAUUUUGGACUUCAACACGGGGAAAAAUCUUUUACCCAGGGUUCCCAGACAUUAGGUGAGGGAUUGACAGAUUGAAGACUUUCUUGAUUCUAUGG
rnacentral:rRNA from 1 species